AGAGUUUGAUCAUGGCUCAGGAUGAACGCUAGCGGCAGGCCUAAUACAUGCAAGUCGAACGGGAUUGGAGAGCUUGCUUUCCAUGAGAGUGGCGUACGGGUGCGUAACGCGUAUGCAACCUACCUUCAUCAGGGGGAUAGCCCGAAGAAAUUCGGAUUAACACCGCAUAAAAACACAACCUGGCAUCAGGAAAUGUUCAAAUAUUUAUAGGAUGAAGAUGGGCAUGCGUGUCAUUAGCUAGUUGGUGAGGUAACGGCUCACCAAGGCGACGAUGACUAGGGGAUCUGAGAGGAUGACCCCCCACACUGGUACUGAGACACGGACCAGACUCCUACGGGAGGCAGCAGUAAGGAAUAUUGGUCAAUGGAGGCAACUCUGAACCAGCCAUGCCGCGUGCAGGAAGACAGCCCUAUGGGUCGUAAACUGCUUUUAUACGGGAAUAAACCUUGAUUCGUGAAUCAAGCUGAAUGUACCGUAAGAAUAAGGAUCGGCUAACUCCGUGCCAGCAGCCGCGGUAAUACGGAGGAUCCAAGCGUUAUCCGGAUUUAUUGGGUUUAAAGGGAGCGUAGGCGGCCUAUUAAGUCAGGGGUGAAAGACGGUGGCUCAACCAUCGCAGUGCCUUUGAUACUGAUGGGCUUGAAUAUAGUUGAGGUAGGCGGAAUGUGACAAGUAGCGGUGAAAUGCAUAGAUAUGUCACAGAACACCGAUUGCGAAGGCAGCUUACUAAGCUAUUAUUGACGCUGAGGCUCGAAAGCGUGGGGAUCAAACAGGAUUAGAUACCCUGGUAGUCCACGCCCUAAACGAUGAUAACUCGAUGUUGGCGAUAUACAGUCAGCGUCCAAGCGAAAGCGUUAAGUUAUCCACCUGGGG
rnacentral:rRNA from 1 species